rnacentral:rRNA from 1 species
AUACGUAGGGUGCAAGCGUUAAUCGGAAUUACUGGGCGUAAAGCGUGCGCAGGCGGUUUUGUGAGACAGAGGGGAAAUCCCCGGGCUCAAACUGGGAACUGCCUUUGUGACUGCAAGGCUAGAGUACGGCAGAGGGGGAUGGAAUUCCGCGUGGAGAAGUGCAAUGCGUAGAUAUGCGGAGGAACACCGAUGGCGAAGGCAAUCCCCUGGGCCUGUACUGACGCUCAUGCACGAAAGCGUGGGGAGCAAACAGGAUUAGAUACCCUGGUAGUCCACGCCCUAAACGAUGUCAACUGGUUGUUGGGUCUUCAUUGACUCAGUAACGAAGCUAACGCGUGAAGUUGACCGCCUGGGGAGUACGGCCGCAAGGUUGAAACUCAAAUGAAUUGACGGGG